UGAGGAAUAUUGGUCAAUGGUCGCUAGACUGAACCAGCCAAGUAGCGUGCGGGAUGAAGGCCCUCCGGGUCGUAAACCGCUUUUAGACGGGGAUAAAAGGGCGUACGUGUACGCCGUAUUGCAUGUACCGUCAGAAAAAGGACCGGCUAAUUCCGUGCCAGCAGCCGCGGUAAUACGGAAGGUCCGGGCGUUAUCCGGAUUUAUUGGGUUUAAAGGGAGCGUAGGCGGACUUUCAAGUCAGUGGUAAAAUCGUGUGGCUCAACCAUACCUCGCCAUUGAAACUGGAAGUCUGGAGUGCACACAGGGGUGCCGGAAUUCAUGGUGUAGCGGUGAAAUGCUUAGAUAUCAUGAGAACUCCGAUCGCGAAGGCAAGUGCCCGGGGUGCAACUGACGCUGAGGCUCGAAGGUGCGGGUAUCGAGCAGGAUUAGAUACC
rnacentral:rRNA from 1 species